rnacentral:rRNA from 1 species
AGUGGCGGACGGGUGAGUAACGCGUGGGUAACCUGCCUCAUACAGGGGGAGUAACAGUUAGAAAUAGACUGCUAACACCGCAUAAUAUAGUGAAACCGCAUGAUUUUGCUAUCAAAUAUUUAUAGGUAUGAGAUGGGCCCGCGUCUGAUUAGCUAGUUGGUGGGGUAAAAGCCUACCAAGGCGACGAUCAGUAGCCGGCUUGAGAGAGUGACCGGCCACAUUGGGACUGAGACACGGCCCAAACUCCUACGGGAGGCAGCAGUGGGGAAUAUUGGACAAUGGGGGAAACCCUGAUCCAGCGACGCCCGCGUGAGUGAAGAAGUAUUUCGGUAUGUAAAGCUCUAUCAGCAGGGAAGAUAAUGACAGUACCUGACUAAGAAGCCCCGGCUAACUACGUGCCAGCAGCUGC